AUAGCGUAUAUUAAAGUUGUUGCAGUUAAAAAGCUCGUAGUUGAACUUCAGAUUUGGUCGGGGGGUCCGCUUAACGGCGUGUUACUGCUUGGCUGGGUCUUGUCUCUUGGUGAACCAUUGUGCCCUUUAUUGGUGUGCUUUGGGGAACCAGGACUUUUACCUUGAGAAAAUUAGAGUGUUCAAAGCAGGCCUGUGCCCGAAUACAUUAGCAUGGAAUAAUAAAAUAGGACGUGCGGUUCUAUUUUGUUGGUUUCUAGAGUCGCCGUAAUGAUUAAUAGGGAUAGUUGGGGGCAUUGGUAUUGAGUCGCUAGAGGUGAAAUUCUUGGAUUGACUCAAGACCAACUAUUG
rnacentral:rRNA from 1 species